GCCGGCGCUUCGGAGCCGGUGGGCCGCUGGAGGCCACAGCGCUCGGCCGGUUCCCGCUGGACCUCGGCCGGUGCCCGUGCGGCCGCGUUCCGCAGCGCUGUCCACGUCGGCCCGCCAUGCGCCCGCCGGCCCCGGCCGUGCUGGGGCUGCUGCUUCUGAUGCUGCUGUCGCCCGGCGAGGCCACCAAGAAGCCGACGCCCUGCAAGCGAUGCCGGGAGCUGGUGGACAAGUUCAACCAGGGAAUGGUGGACACAGCAAAGAAGAACUUUGGUGGUGGAAACACGGCCUGGGAGGAAAAGACGCUGUCCAAGUAUGAAUUCAGUGAGGUCCGCCUGCUGGAGAUCAUGGAGGGCCUGUGUGGGACCAGCGACUUCGAGUGCAACCAUCUGGUGGAGGAGCACGAGGGGCUCCUGGAGACCUGGUGGCUGCGGCUGAAGAAGAAGUAUCCUGACUUAUUUGAAUGGUUUUGUGUGAAGACGCUGAAAGUUUGUUGUGCUCCAGGAACUUACGGGCCAGACUGCCUGGCGUGCCAGGGCGGGUCCGAGCGGCCCUGCAGCGGGAACGGCCACUGCAGCGGAGACGGCAGCAGGCAGGGCGACGGGUCCUGCCGGUGCCACCUGGGCUACCGGGGACCGCUGUGCGCCGACUGCACGGACGGCUACUUCAACUCGCUGAGGAACGAGACGCACAGCAUCUGCUCAGCCUGUGAUGAGUCCUGCAAGACGUGCACGGGCCCUACCAACAGAGACUGCGGCCAGUGCGAAGUGGGCUGGGCGCGGGAGGACGACGCCUGCGUAGCGGCCGGGCGCGGCUGCCGCCCACAGCUGUGCCGUCCUCUCCAGAUGUGGACGAAUGCGCGGCGGAGCCGCCCCCCUGCGAGGACCAGCAGUACUGCGAGAACCUCAACGGCUCCUUCGCGUGCCGGGGUGAGCGCGCCUCCCGGCCCGCCGGCCCGGCCCGCUGCUUCCCCCCAGAUGUUUGCGGUUUGUCAGCAUGACCCCUGUAUGCUCUGCCUGCUUAAAACAUUUAAGGUGGCAACACAAGUGACAGAUGUUUCCUGAAGAAGAAUCAGAGAAUUCAGAUGAGUUGAAAAAAGUAUCGUGACCGCCUUUGCACGUCACAUUUUUGUACACCGUGUUAUUUUGGAGCAUGCUGUUAUUUCACAGUUUUUUUCAACAAUCUGUAUCACUGAAUAUUUGUCAUACACAGUGUCCCACAGUUACAAACUUUGAAGACCCCUGUAGGUAAAGCUUUUUCCAUUCUUCAUUAUUUUCUUUGGAUGAGUUUCCGAGUUGCUCAGUUCAAGGGAAUGUGGAUUUUAGGGCCACCCACCCCCGCAAAAGGUUGAAAGGUGGUGCCGAUUCCUCGCCUUCCCCCCCCGCACCCCCUCACCGUGUCCGCGGCCAUGCCGUCCUGUCCCCAUGUUUGUGGACACACAGCUUCAAUGAGACGCCCCCAGAGCAUCACACGUUCUCUGCUGUCGUUGGCACCAAGCUCCUGGCUGGUGAGUCAGCAGUGUCACAGCUGGAGGCGGGUUUUGUUUGAGAAAAGAUGCUGCCCCCCCACCCUCCACGUGACAGAGGUCACGGAGGGGGCCCGUCGGUGCUGCUCCGGCAGCCUGGCCUGCACCGAGGUCCCUCCGCAGCACAGUGGUCAAUGGUCAGUCGCAGCAAGUCCGCACUUUGCCUCAAGCACACGCUGUCUGCUCCCCACCACCCCCAGGAUGGGGACACUGGGCUCUCCCGGCCGCAGGGCCUCCGCCAUCUUGUGUGUGGUUUCAGGUCGCGCUUUGCCCACAAGAUGGGGGUCUCGUGUCGUCAUCUCCCUCCCCUCUUGUUUCCAGAAUGUGAUUCUACCUGCGUGGGCUGCACGGGGGAGGGUCCUGGACAGUGUAAAGAGUGCCUCCCCGGCUUCUCGAAAGAGAGCGGCCAGUGCACAGACAUUGACGAGUGCUCGCUGGCGGAAAAGCCCUGUCUGAGGAGGAAUGAAAAC